rnacentral:rRNA from 1 species
GAUGAACGCUAGCUACAGGCUUAACACAUGCAAGUCGAGGGGCAGCAUGAACUUAGCUUGCUAAGUUUGAUGGCGACCGGCGCACGGGUGAGUAACACGUAUCCAACCUUCCGUUUACUCAGGGAUAGCCUUUCGAAAGAAAGAUUAAUACCUGAUAGUAUGGUGAGAUUGCAUGAUAGCACCAUUAAAGAUUUAUUGGUAAACGAUGGGGAUGCGUUCCAUUAGGUAGUAGGCGGGGUAACGGCCCACCUAGCCUGCGAUGGAUAGGGGUUCUGAGAGGAAGGUCCCCCCACAUUGGAACUGAGACACGGUCCAAACUCCUACGGGAGGCAGCAGUGAGGAAUAUUGGUCAAUGGGCGAGAGCCUGAACCAGCCAAGUAGCGUGAAGGAUGAAGGUCCUACGGAUUGUAAACUCUUUAUACGGGAAUAAAGUUCCUACGUNUAGGAUUUGUAUGUACCGUAUGAAUAAGCAUCGGCUAACUCCGUGCCAGCAGCCGCGGU